GUAUUGGUGAUUCAGUGGUAGAAUUCUCACCUUCCAUGCAGGAGACCUGGAUUCAAUUCCUGACCAAUGCA
rfam:Loxodonta africana unplaced genomic scaffold scaffold_57, whole genome shotgun sequence.